rnacentral:rRNA from 1 species
GCGGCAGGCCUAACACAUGCAAGUCGAGCGCUCACUUCGGUGGGAGCGGCGGACGGGUUAGUAACGCGUGGGAAUAUGCCCGGUACUAAGGAAUAGCCUUUGGAAACGAAGAGUAAUACCUUAUACGCCCUUCGGGGGAAAGAUUUAUCGGUAUCGGAUUAGCCCGCGUAAGAUUAGAUAGUUGGUGGGGUAAUGGCCUACCAAGUCUACGAUCUUUAGCUGGUUUUAGAGGAUGAUCAGCCACACUGGGACUGAGACACGGCCCAGACUCCUACGGGAGGCAGCAGUAGGGAAUCUUAGACAAUGGGGGCAACCCUGAUCUAGCCAUGCCGCGUGUGUGAUGAAGGCCCUAGGGUCGUAAAGCACUUUCGCCAGAGAUGAUAAUGACAGUAUCUGGUAAAGAAACCCCGGCUAACUCCGUGCCAGCAGCCGCGGUAAUACGGAGGGGGUUAGCGUUGUUCGGAAUUACUGGGCGUAAAGCGCACGUAGGCGGAUUAGUAAGUUAGAGGUGAAAUCCCAGGGCUCAACCCUGGAACUGCCUUUAAUACUGCUAGUCUUGAGUUCGAGAGAGGUAAGUGGAAUUCCGAGUGUAGAGGUGAAAUUCGUAGAUAUUCGGAGGAACACCAGUGGCGAAGGCGGCUUACUGGCUCGAUACUGACGCUGAGGUGCGAAAGUGUGGGGAGCAAACAGGAUUAGAUACCCUGGUAGUCCACACCGUAAACGAUGAAUGCCAGUCGUCGGCAAGUAUACUUGUCGGUGACACACCUAACGGAUUAAGCAUUCCGCCUGGGGAGUACGGUCGCAAGAUUAAAACUCAAGGAAUUGACGGG